CGGCGGACGGGUGAGUAACGCGUGGGUAACCUGCCUCAUACAGGGGGAUAACAGUUAGAAAUGACUGCUAAUACCGCAUAAGACCACGGUACCGCAUGGUACAGUGGGAAAAACUCCGGUGGUAUGAGAUGGACCCGCGUCUGAUUAGCUAGCUGGUAAGGUAACGGCUUACCAAGGCGACGAUCAGUAGCCGACCUGAGAGGGUGACCGGCCACAUUGGGACUGAGACACGGCCCAA
rnacentral:rRNA from 1 species